rnacentral:rRNA from 1 species
CGUAGGGGGCAAGCGUUGUCCGGAUUUAUUGGGCGUAAAGAGCGUGUAGGCGGCUUGGCAAGUCCGCUGUGAAAACUCGAGGCUUAACCUCGAGACGUCGGUGGAAACUGCUUGGCUAGAGUCCGGAAGAGGAGUGUGGAAUUCCUGGUGUAGCGGUGAAAUGCGCAGAUAUCAGGAAGAACACCUAUGGCGAAGGCAGCACUCUGGGACGGUACUGACGCUGAGACGCGAAAGCGUGUGGAGCGAACAGGAUUAGAUACCCUGGUAGUCCACGCCGUAAACGAUGGAUGCUAGGUGUGGGCGGUGUCGACUCCGUCCGUGCCGAAGCUAACGCAUUAAGCAUCCCGCCUGGGGAGUACGGCCGCAAGGCUA